rnacentral:rRNA from 1 species
CCCUUAGAUGUUCUGGGCCGCACGCGCGUUACACUGAUGCAUUCAACGAGUUCUUCCUUGGCCGAGAGGCCUGGGCAAUCUUUUGAACGUGCAUCGUGAUAGGGAUAGAUUAUUGCAAUUAUUAAUCUUGAACGAGGAAUUCCUAGUAAACGCAGUUCAUCAAACUGCAUUGAUUACGUCCCUGCCCUUUGUACACACCGCCCGUCGCACCUACCGAUUGAGUGGUCCGGUGAGGCUUUGGGAUCUGAGCAAAAAGAGCGUUUCGCUCGUUUGGCUCGGAAAACUCAGUCGAACCUUAUCAUUUAGAGGAAGGAGAAGUCGUAACA